rnacentral:rRNA from 1 species
GUCUAGGGCCAUACCACCCUGAACAAGCCCAAUCCCGUCUGAUCUCGGAAGCUAAGCAGGGUCGGGCCUGGUUAGUACUUGGAUGGGAGACCACCUAGGAAGACCAGGUGCUGUAGGCG